rnacentral:misc_RNA from 1 species
AAAGUCGUAACAAGGUUUCCGUAGGUGAACCUGCGGAAGGAUCAUUACAAAUCUUUGGAGAGCUGUGUGCCGUUUACGGUGCGCAGUGACUCUACAUUAGCACAGGGUCGCAAGACUCUGAUGUUUACGCUUGUUUGUUUGACAGAGUUAGUUGAGAAUAAUAAAAGACAACUUUAAACAAUGGAUCUCUUGGCUCUU